rnacentral:rRNA from 1 species
CACGUAGGGUGCGAGCGUUGUCCGGAAUUAUUGGGCGUAAAGAGCUCGUAGGUGGUUUGUCGCGUUGUCCGUGAAAAACUCACAACUCAAUUGUGGGCGUGCGGGCGAUACGGGCAGACUGGAGUACUGCAGGGGGAGACUGGAAUUCCUGGUGUAGCGGUGAAAUGCGCAGAUAUCAGGAGGAACACCGGCGGCGAAGGCGGCACUCUGGGCCGGUACUGACGCUGAGGAGCGAAAGCGUGGGGUAGCAAACAGG